CUCCCGCCGGCGACCGGCGCACGGGUGAGUAACACGUAUGAAACCUGCCCGUAGCAGGGGGAUAAGCGGAAGAAAUUCCGUCUAAUACCGCGUAACAACCCGAGGAGGCAUCUCCUCGGGUUUAAAGGAAGCGAUUCCGGCUACGGAUGGUCAUGUGUCGCAUUAGCUAGUUGGCGGGGUAACGGCCCACCAAGGCGACGAUGCGUAGGGGUUCUGAGAGGAAGGUCCCCCACACUGGUACUGAGACACGGACCAGACUCCUACGGGAGGCAGCAG
rnacentral:rRNA from 1 species